UACGGAGGGUGCAAGCGUUAUCCGGAUUUACUGGGUUUAAAGGGUGUGUAGGCGGGCUUUUAAGUCAGUUGUGAAAUCCCCGGGCUCAACCCGGGAACUGCUUCUGAUACUGGCGGACUUGAGGCCAGUAGGGGUCACUAGAACUGACGGUGGAGCGGUGAAAUGCGUAGAUAUCGUCAGGAAUGCCGGUGGUGAAGACGGGUGACUGGGCUGGUUCUGACACUGAGGCACGAAAGCGUGGGGAGCGAACGGG
rnacentral:rRNA from 1 species